AGCGAACGCUGGCGGCAGGCCUAACACAUGCAAGUCGAACGAAGUCUUCGGACUUAGUGGCGGGCGGGUGAGUAACACGUGGGAACGUACCUUUUGGUUCGGAACAACUCAGGGAAACUUGAGCUAAUACCGGAUGAGCCCUUAGGGGGAAAGAUUUAUCGCCGAAAGAGCGGCCCGCGUUAGAUUAGCUAGUUGGUGAGGUAAAGGCUCACCAAGGCUACGAUCUAUAGCUGGUCUGAGAGGAUGAUCAGCCACACUGGGGCUGAGACACGGCCCAGACUCCUACGGGAGGCAGCAGUGGGGAAUCUUGCGCAAUGGGCGAAAGCCUGACGCAGCCAUGCCGCGCGAAUGAUGAAGGUCUUAGGACUGUAAAAUUCUUUUACCAGGGACGAUAAUGACGGUACCUGGAGAAAAAGCCCCGGCUAACUUCGUGCCAGCAGCCGCCGCAGUAA
rnacentral:rRNA from 1 species